GGGCGAUGAUGAUGAAAACUAUACCAUCAAACUAUGAAAGCUUGAUCAAAGAUCAAACCUUGUUGAUGUUAUCGAAAUCAUUACUCUCUGAGCCU